UCCGCUGAGGUUCUGGGAUAUGGAACAGUUUAAUUCGAUUAUUAUAAGUAAAAGAUCAGAAGUGCACAGAAGUUCAGCAAGAUUGUAAUUGAGGCCCCCUAACCCAAGGCUUGUGAAUUUUUUUAAACCCUAGAACUCAGUGGUUGAAGCAUUGUCCAAAAAUUAGAAGAAAUCGAAGCCAGACACUUCGAAUCCGAGGGAAGAAAGCAAGAUUUGAGACCCAAGAGCUUAUGAAUUUUUCUGAAUCCUAGAACCUGGUGGUUGAAGUGUUGACCCAGAAUUAGCAGAUACCGAAGCUAAACACUUUGAAUCCGAGGGAAGAAGGACUUACAAGUGCUCUAGGGGAGAUUUGAGACCCAAGACUCUCUCUCUAACUCUCUCCCAUAUGAGAAUGAUCUAGCUUCUGCACUGUGACUUGUGUGGGUGAUACUUAUUUUGUAGUAUCACUCCAUUGCUGGGUUGGUUGUUCACAUCCUGGAAGCAAGUAAUUUACCCACGAGAUUCUUCGUUUCAGGCUCUACUAAAAGGUUCCUUAGAAUCUAAAGCGCAACAAGGCCUAGUACCUUCAAUUCACCCAAAAACAAUCAGUAUGCUCAAUGGUGGAGGACGAGCAGGCAGUGGAAGUAGUAAGCAAGUACCUUUGUUGCUCUUAAAAACACCAAACAGUAUUUUCAAUUGUAAAGAAGAAGAAGAUAAUGAAAGUAGUAAGCAAGUACCUUCAUUGCUCCUAAAAAAUACAAACAGUAUUUUCAAUGGCAAAGGAGAAGAAGGCAGUGAACAUAGGAAGCAAGUACCUUCAUUGCUCCUAAAAAAUACAAAUAGUAUGUUCAAUGGCAAAAGAGAAACAAACAGUAUGUUCAAUGGCAAAGGAGAAGAAGGCAGUGGACAUAGGAAACAAGUACCUUCAUUGCUCCUAAAAAAUACAAAUAGUAUGUUCAAUGGCAAAGGAGAAACAAACAGUAUGUUCAAUGGCAAAGGAGAAGAAGGCAGUGGACAUAGGAAGAAAGUACCUUCAUUGCUCCUAAAAAAUACAAAUAGUAUUUUUAAUGGCAAAUGAAAAGAAGGCAGUGGACAUAUGAAGCAAGUACCUUCAGUGCGCUCAUUGCUCAGUGAAAAUAGUACGCAAGUAUCUUCAUUGCACAAUGGAAAUAAUAAGUAAGUGAAGUCCCUUCAGAAGAAAGGGCCAACCAUGAGCACCUCGCAGAGUAAAAAAAAAAAAUAUAUAUAUAUAUAUAUAGCAUCCAUCCUUGGCCCCUGUUUGCUGUAUUUGCUUGAAAGAAUAAGCCUAUCAUUGGCCUCUUGUUUGUUUCACAAUUUUAUUUUAUUUUAUUUUUUAUUUUUAUUAUUAUUUUUUUUGAAUAAGCCUCUAUCG